GACGAACGCUGGCGGCGUGCUUAACACAUGCAAGUCGAACGGUGAAGCGCCUUCCUUUUUGGUGGGUGUGGAUGAGUGGCGAACGGGUGAGUAACACGUGAGUAACCUGCCCCCUUCUUCUGGAUAACCGCAUGAAAGUGUGGCUAAUACGGGAUAUUCUGGGUCUGUCGCAUGAUGGGUCUGGGAAAGAUAUUGUUUCGGUGGGGGAUGGGCUCGCGGCCUAUCAGCUUGUUGGUGGGGUGAUGGCCUACCAAGGCGGUGACGGGUAGCCGGCCUGAGAGGGUGGACGGUCACACUGGGACUGAGACAUGGCCCAGACUCCUACGGGAGGCAGCAGUGGGGAAUAGUGCACAAUGGGCGCAAGCCUGAUGCAGCGACGCCGCGUGAGGGAUGGAGGCCUGCGGGUUGUGAACCUCUUUCGCCAGUGAAGCAGGCCUGCCUCGUUUGUGGGUGGGUUGACGGUAGCUGGAUAAGAAGCGCCGGCUAACUACGUG
rnacentral:rRNA from 1 species